rnacentral:rRNA from 1 species
AGUUGGGCACUCUAAGGAGACUGCCGGUGACAAACCGGAGGAAGGUGGGGAUGACGUCAAGUCAUCAUGCCCCUUAUGACCUGGGCUACACACGUGCUACAAUGGAUGGUACAAAGGGUUGCCAAACCGCGAGGUGAGCUAAUCCCAUAAAACCNUUCUCAGUUCGGAUUGCAGUNUGCAACUCGCCUGCAUGAAGUCGGAAUCGCUAGUA